AUCUGAAGGUGAAACUGCUCUAGCUAACAGGGAAAGCUCUUUAAAAGACCAUCAAAGAGACACCCUGCACAAUGCCUGCUUUCCGGAGGAGCCUCGCGCCCACAAGGCCAUCCCCCAAAUCCAAAAUAUGCUGGCAUGCUAAUCGCGUGAGACAACUUGGCCCACGGACAGCCACAAAGCACAAAAACAAAACACAAACUCACUCAGAGAAGAAACAAGAAUCGUGUUUUCCUGGCAUCUACGAGAAGCGCUUUAUUAGAAGCGCUUUAUUUUUCCUCUAGAUUUCUUUUCUAAAAAAUGAAAAACAAAAACAAACUGAAACAAACAUUUAAAGAAACAAUACAAACUUCAGGUGAUGAUA
rnacentral:lncRNA from 1 species